GACGAACGCUGGCGGCGCGCCUAACACAUGCAAGUCGAACGGAGUCACGAGGAGCUUGCUUUUCUUGACUUAGUGGCGCACGGGUGAGUAACGCGUGAGUAACCUGCCCUGGAGUGGGGGACAACAGUUGGAAACGACUGCUAAUACCGCAUAAGCCCACGGAUCCGCAUGGAUCUGCGGGAAAAGGAUUUAUUCGCUUCAGGCUGGACUCGCGUCCAAUUAGCUAGUUGGUGAGGUAACGGCCCACCAAGGCGACGAUUGGUAGCCGGACUGAGAGGUUGAACGGCCACAUUGGGACUGAGACACGGCCCAGAAUCCUACGGGAGGCAGCAGUGGGGGAUAUUGCACAAUGGGGGAAACCCUGAUGCAGCGACGCCGCGUGGAGGAAGAAGGUUUUCGGAUUGUAAACUCCUGUCGUUAGGGACGAUAAUGACGGUACCUAACAAGAAAGCACCGGCUAACUACGUG
rnacentral:rRNA from 1 species